AUUGAACGCUGGCGGCAGGCCUAACACAUGCAAGUCGAGCGGAUGAAGGGAGCUUGCUCCUGGAUUCAGCGGCGGACGGGUGAGUAAUGCCUAGGAAUCUGCCUGGUAGUGGGGGAUAACGUCCGGAAACGGGCGCCAAUACCGCAUACGUCCUGAGGGAGAAAGUGGGGGAUCUUCGGACCUCACGCUAUCAGAUGAGCCUAGGUCGGAUUAGCUAGUUGGUGGGGUAAAGGCCUACCAAGGCGACGAUCCGUAACUGGUCUGAGAGGAUGACCAGUCACACUGGAACUGAGACACGGUCCAGACUCCUACGGGAGGCAGCAGUGGGGAAUAUUGGACAAUGGGCGAAAGCCUGAUCCAGCCAUGCCGCGUGUGUGAAGAAGGUCUUCGGAUUGUAAAGCACUUUAAGUUGGGAGGAAGGGCAGUAAGUUAAUACCUUGCUGUUUUGACGUUACCAACAGAAUAAGCACCGGCUAACUUCGUG
rnacentral:rRNA from 1 species